AGUGAACGCUGGCGGUAGGCCUAACACAUGCAAGUCGAACGGCAGCACAGUAAGAGCUUGCUCUUACGGGUGGCGAGUGGCGGACGGGUGAGGCAUACAUCGGAAUCUACUUUUUCGUGGGGGAUAACGUAGGGAAACUUACGCUAAUACCGCAUACGACCUACGGGUGAAAGCAGGGGAUCUUCGGACCUUGCGCGAUUGAAUGAGCCGAUGUCGGAUUAGCUAGUUGGCGGGGUAAAGGCCCACCAAGGCGACGAUCCGUAGCUGGUCUGAGAGGAUGAUCAGCCACACUGGAACUGAGACACGGUCCAGACUCCUACGGGAGGCAGCAGUGGGGAAUAUUGGGCAAUGGGCGAAAGCCUGAUCCAGCCAUACCGCGUGGGUGAAGAAGGCCUUCGGGUUGUAAAGCCCUUUUGUUGGGAAAGAAAAGCAGCAGGUUAAUACCCCGCUGUUCUGACGGUACCCAAAGAAAAAGCACCGGCUAACUUCGUG
rnacentral:rRNA from 1 species